rnacentral:lncRNA from 1 species
UUUUUUUCUUUUUUUACCACUGGCUAAUUUCAAAUGCCCUGUCUUCGGCAUUGCUGAUUCUUUCUUGUGCAUGGUGAAAUCUGCUUUCAAAGCUCUCUAUUGCAUUCUUCAGUUUAGUCAUUUUAUUUUUUAGCUCUAUAAUUUUUUUGAUGAUACCUAUUACUUUAUUAAACUUCACCUCUUGUUCUUUCAUUGUUAUCUUAAUUUCAUUUAGUUGUCUCUGGGUUCCUAUAUUUCACUAUACUUCAAGAGUAUUAUUUAGGGGCACCUGGGUGGCUUGGUGGUUGAGUGCCUGCCUUUGGCUCAGGUAGUAGUCCUGAGAUCCUGGGAUUGAGUCCCACAUCAGAUUCCAUGUGGGGAGCCUGCUUCUCCCUCUGCCUAUGUCUCUGCCUCUCUGUGUCUCUCUCAUGAAUAAAUAAAUAAAAUCUAUUUUAAAAAGAGGAUUAUUUAGAAUUCUAAAAAAAGUUAUACUACAAUCUGGUAAAUGUGUAAUAGUAUUGUCUUAAUUUUAAAAAAUACCUUAUUGCUAAAAAAUGCUAACAUUAUCUGAGCUUUCAGAUAAUAAUUACUGUUUGCAGCUUAGAAUAACAAAUAUAAUGAUAAAUUGAAAGUUGGUAAUACUGAGGCACCUGGGUGGCUGUCAGUAAAGCAUCUGCCUUCAACUCAGGUUAUGAUCCCAGGGUCCUGGGAUUGAACCCUAUGUGGGGCUUCCUGCUCAGCAGAGAGUCUGCUUCUCCCUCUCCUUCUGCCCCUCUCUCUUAUUUCUCUCUCUUAUGCUUUCUUUCUCUUCUAAAUUAAUAAAUAAAAUAUUUUUUAAAAAGUUAGUACUAUUGCAAAAAUUACCAGAAUGUGACACAGAGACACAAAAUAAGCAACUACUAUUGGAAAUAUUAUUGGAGACUUGCUCAAAAUAGGAUUGCCACAAACUUUCAAUUUGUUGAAUGUGUGUGCACACACACACACAAUCUUAAAGCACAAUAAAAUGAGAUAUACCUGUAUUUGUUUCCUUUUGUUAUGUUAUGUUUACCUGAUUUUCCAUGGUCUUUCGUUCCUUACAUUGAUAUCAUGAAUAAUUAUCUCCUCUUCCAAUUUGUAUAGUUUUGCUCUGGUAGAGACAGUUUUUCACCAGUCAACUCAGUUUGGAUUUCUGGAUAUGUCAGGUGGCAAAGUCUUUGGGCAGGUGAGGCUUGCUAUCAGAAUCUACUUGGGGAUGAGGCCACUGCCCAAGCUCUGAGAUCAAGGGGUAGGGAGGGCAGCACUGUUUGUUAAUGUGAUAGGACUGCUGGCUUUGUUCCCAGCCCAGAGGAGGAUAUAGGAUUGGUUCCACAGUUGACUGGGUUCUCUGGUCAGGCUUGCUAGAUGGUCAAGACUGGGUACUAUAUUCAGUAAUAGGUUAGGAUAUGAAUUAGCUUUCCCGCACUGGUUGCAAAACAAUAUUCCCUAAGGCCUGCAUUGCUUGUUGUUUGGGGACUUGAAUUGGGCAAGAAUAUGUACUGAAUUCCCUAGCCACACAAAGUCUCCGGUUUUGCUCUGCAGAUGGGGAAAGCCAUGGGCUGUGCUGUCUCUUCAAUGCCACUUUAAGUAAGGCUGUUGAAUGGGGC